CCCGGCCGCGCGGGGCUGGCACGGCAGGGGAAGAUGGCGGCGGCGGGCGGGGGCGGCGCCGCGGUGUCGGUGCUGGCGCCCAGCGGGCGGCGGGUCACGGUGCGGGUGGGGCCCGGCACGGUCCUGCUCCAGGUCCUCGAGGAGGUCUGCAGGAAGCAGGGUGGCAGCCCUAGCGAGUACGGCCUGAAGUUUCAGAGGAAUGUGUUGGACCUGUCUUUGCAGUGGAGAUUUGCUAGGCUGCCCAACAAUGCCAAACUGGAGAUGGUGCCAGUCUCCAGCAGAGCAGGAGCUGGAACCACGGUUCGGAUAGCAUUACAACUAGACGAUGGCUCCCGUUUGCAGGACACCUUUCUCUGUCAGCAGACCUUGUGGGAACUUCUCAACCAUUUUGCGAAGAUCAGGGAGUUGAUGGAACAGGAUGGUGAAUUGUCUCCAGUCUGUAUUUACAUGCGGGAUGAGAUAUCAGGAAAAGAUGCCCUGGAGAAGAUAACACUGAAAUCACUUGGCCUGAUUGGAGGCAGUGCCAUUAUCAGAGUUGUCAUGAAGAAAUGCAGUUCAUCUGGUGGGGAGGAAGUUGUGGGAGCCACGGUGCCUUGUAAUGAGCCAACAGUGAGGAAAGGCUCUAUGGAAGAAGCAGUGGAUGUGCCUCUACCUCAAGCAAACACAUUUCCGAAGGACUUGGAGCACAGGAAUGUGGCUGUAUCUUUAAACAGCUGCACACACAAGCAAGACUCGACUAAAGAUUCUCAUGCUAGCUUGGAGGAGCUGUGGCAUUCCCCAGAGCCUGAGCCUACCCCAUUUGUCCAUUUUUUUGGAGAUGGAGAACAUCUGGGGGACUCUCCUGUAGCUGCACUAUCUUCAAAGCUGCCAACAACUUUUUCAAGCCCUGGAGGUCCUUCUAAGCCAAAGAAGUCUAAGAACAGCCAAGAAGUGCAAAAGGAGCAAGACCAGCUUGUAGAACGUGAGCCACUUAUAUGUCACCUGGACCUACUGGAACAACUUUCUAAUGGCCCAGAAGAGCUUCCUGAUGAAUUUUUUGAAGUCACAGUGGAUGAUGUACGGAAACGUUUGGCACAGCUGCAGAAUGAGAGGAAACGCCUGGAAGAAGCUCCACUGAUGACAAAGUCCUUGAAGGAGUCCCAGCUGAAGGAGAAGUUGGAGCGUUACCCCAAGGUGGUGGUGAGAGUUCAUUUUCCAGACCGCCACGUUCUGCAGGGCUGCUUCCAUCCCACUGAGACUGUUGGCAUUUUGAGAGACUUUGUAAGAAGCCACCUUGCCGAUGCAGAGUUGCCAUUUUACUUGUUUGUUGCACCUCCCAGAAUCAUCUUGAACAAUGAAAGUCUGACGCUGUUUGAGGUGGAUCCACCAGGGACUGUUCUGAAGUGGAUAUUUUUAUCAUGGAAUGUGAGAUGCAGCAGCCCCAGUGCCACUCCACAGCCAGGGUGCCAUGCUGUCACAAACCACGCUCACCGCUGCAGUGUCUCAGUAGCUGUUCGCUCUCUCUGGGUGAAACUGGAGUUACUCAGCUGUAGUUUCAGACUGAAUGGGGCUUUGCUAACCUUUUCCCAACUGCUGUCAUUCAUUUUGGAUCUGAGGAGCGCAGGGCUUGUUACCUGAAAUCAGACCUGCUGAGCUCUGCAGUUUCUUCUUCUGCAGCUGAUUUAUUAGUAGCCAGAUCACUAGUUCCUUCUGCUUCAUCAGCUUUAGCAUCAUCCCUAUCUGAACCAGAAGUGGGAAGUGACAAAGAGACCACUGAGCAGCCAGAACCAGCCAGCACUCAGGGAGCUCCACAAGUGCUUAGAAAAGCCCCUGG